UACGACUACAUAUCAGGCAUAUCAAUAAGCGGAGGAAAAGAAACUAACAAGGAUUCCCCUAGUAACGGCGAGUGAAGCGGGAAGAGCUCAAAUUUGAAAUCUUAAAGGGUUUCCCUUUACGAAUUGUAGUUUAAAGAAGUGUUUUCUGUUGGUAGUUUUGGUAAAAGUUCUUUGGAAUAGGACAUCAUAGAGGGUGAGAAUCCCGUAUUUGACCAUUACUUUCCAGCUGUUGUGAUACACUUUCAAAGAGUCGGAUUGUUUGGGAAUGCAGUCCAAAAUGGGUGGUAAAUUUCAUCUAAAGCUAAAUAUUGGCGAGAGACCGAUAGCGAACAAGUACCGUGAGGGAAAGAUGAAAAGAACUUUGAAAAGAGAGUUAAACAGUACGUGAAAUUGUCAAAAGGGAAGCGUUUGACACCAGUGUUGUUUUUCCGAAAAUCAAUUACGAAUGUUUUAUUUUUGAGGAGUUAUGACUUCAUCGGCUUGCUCCUUUCUUUACGAAACUUUCUUAAUGCACUUUUCGGUUAACAAGUCAACAUCAAUUUCUUUUGUUGUAAAAGGGUCAUUGGAAGGUGGCUUUCACUUCGGUGAAAGUGUUUAUAGCCUUUGGCUUCUACAAUCGGAGAGAUUGAGGUCUGCAGCGUAGAUCCUUCGGGGUUAGAUACGUAGAUGCUAAGUUAUAGUUUUUCAUAGACAACAUGUUGACUAUGAUUAAUCAUGUAGCUUACUCGCUUAUGUUAUUUUACCUACGCUUAGGAUGUUGAAUCUGUGCGAGACUAC
rnacentral:rRNA from 1 species